CCUACGGGCGGCAGCAGUGGGGAAUAUUGGACAAUGUGGGGAACCCUGAUCCAGCCAUGCCGCGUGUGUGAAGAAGGCCCUCGGGUUGUAAAGCACUUUCAGUGAGGAAGAACGCCUGGUGGUUAAUACCCAUCAGGAAAGACAUCACUCACAGAAGAAGCACCGGCUAACUCCGUGCCAGCAGCCGCGGUAAUACGGAGGGUGCGAGCGUUAAUCGGAAUUACUGGGCGUAAAGCGCGCGUAGGUGGCUUGAUAAGCCGGUUGUGAAAGCCCCGGGCUCAACCUGGGAACGGCAUCCGGAACUGUCAAGCUAGAGUGCAGGAGAGGAAGGUAGAAUUCCCGGUGUAGCGGUGAAAUGCGUAGAGAUCGGGAGGAAUACCAGUGGCGAAGGCGGCCUUCUGGACUGACACUGACACUGAGGUGCGAAAGCGUGGGUAGCAAACAGGAUUAGAUACCCGAGUAGUC
rnacentral:rRNA from 1 species